rnacentral:rRNA from 1 species
UCCUGACUGACCGAUAGUGAACCAGUACCGUGAGGGAAAGGCGAAAAGAACCCCGGCGAGGGGAGUGAAAAAGAACCUGAAACCGUGUACGUACAAGCAGUGGGAGCACGCUUAGGCGUGUGACUGCGUACCUUUUGUAUAAUGGGUCAGCGACUUAUAUUCUGUAGCAAGGUUAACCGAAUAGGGGAGCCGAAGGGAAACCGAGUCUUAACUGGGCGUUAAGUUGCAGGGUAUAGACCCGAAACCCGGUGAUCUAGCCAUGGGCAGGUUGAAGGUUGGGUAACACUAACUGGAGGACCGAACCGACUAAUGUUGAAAAAUUAGCGGAUGACUUGUGGCUGGGGGUGAAAGGCCAAUCAAACCGGGAGAUAGCUGGUUCUCCCCGAAAGCUAUUUAGGUAGCGCCUCGUGAAUUCAUCUCCGGGGGUAGAGCACUGUUUCGGCAAGGGGGUCAUCCCGACUUACCGACCCGAUGCAAACUGCGAAUAUCGGAGAAUGUUAUCACGGGAGACACACGGCGGGUG